AUGUCUGUUAAAGUCCAUAGGAGGCUCCCAUCUGGUCAAUGUCCUUAUGCAGAGUUCAACAGGGUUGGGCUAGUAGACACCAGUGAGACAGAUGCCUUGGGGCUGAACACACCUGAGCAAAGUACACAACACCAUAACUCCUUCAGGGAUCCCUGGAGUCCAACCAAAUAUUGUCUAACCAAGACAGCAGAAAGGGAGGUAUCCAUCAAAACAUGGCUGAAGCAAAUAAAUACUGUGCAAUCCAUUUCAGGUCUGCAGAGAAGGUGUUCUUUUGCUGGAGCUCCUUGCCUAUGGAAUGGUCUUUCAAAGGAUCUUAACCCAUACCUCCAGAUAAGAUUUCCAAGGCCANAUGGAAGAAGACCUGUCUUCUUCACACAGGUUCUAUUUAUAUAGAUAUCUUUCAUGGGCUGCUGCAACUUCUUGGGACGCCAUAUGCAAGAAGGCAACUGUCCUGGUAUUUAAUGCUACUAUCGACAGGUAUCAAUCUGAAAAUAACUGAAGGUGUUGCUAAAUUUUUGGGAAUAGAAGUGAAGAAAUGACCAAGCUAAUAAUGCCAGAGAUGCCUGGAAUUUUGUAUUCUAAGAGCUGCUACUGUGGACAUUUGCUUUUAAGCUAUAUUUUAUGAGUCAUUGGCAGUAUCAGGAUCAUUAUAAGCAGUGCACUGCCCAAUCUGAAGAUAGAUACAUAAUUAUAAUUCAUCCUGCUGUCACUUUUUCAGUGUGAUUUUAAGCUACGANACACAUUGUUGAUUCUGACACUCCUAAGGAUCUCUUUCUUAUGAUUUUCUUUAUGGGUAGUCAUAUAUAUUUAAAUCAUAAAACCUGUUUCCUGUGAAAACAAGAAUGCUUCAACUUGUUCUGCCAGAUGGUUCUGGCUACAUUCUAUAUGCUAACCUGAGCUUACAGAAAUCUCAUGAGAACACUCUGCAUAUGUCCUAUGCUUUUUCAUUGCAAAGAGCCAUGGUUUUAUAUAAAGUCAUUGCAACAUUAAUAAAAGUAGACUACUCACACCA
rnacentral:lncRNA from 1 species